AGACUGUCAGAGUUGGAGAUGAAAUCACUUUGAAAUGUGAAAAUGCAAAUGAUUUCAGUGAUGGAUGUUACUGGAUCACAUGGUUGUACAGUGAUUUAACCAAACCAGCAACUACCCUGUUUGAACACGGGAAGAUUAACAAAGAUGUUGGAUCUAAAUCAGACAGACUGAGUCUUCCAGAGAAAUGUUCUCUGGUUAUAAAGAAGAUCACAGAUGAAGAUGCUGGAAGAUACAUCUGCAGACAGUUCAACUCAUCAGGACACAUGGAGACAGAGUUUAUAAUUGCACUGACUGUUAAAAAUGAAAAUGAUGUCAGAUCAAAGAUUAAAACACCUAAACCAACAUCCAAACCAUCGUCUGCAUCAACUUCUGCAGCUGAAUCCACAACAACCACAGGAUCAGUUCUGUCAACAUUCAAACCAUCAACUGCAGCAGAUCAAGUCUCUAAAACAGGUGUUUGGUGGAGGAUCAUCUAUGUUCCUGUGGGUGUAGCAGCACUCUCAGUCAUCACUGUAUCAGUCUGGAUCUGGACCAGAACAUGAGGAGCAGAAUGAAGAAGUCUUUGAAGAUCUGAUGAUUCUCCUUCAGUGAUGAACACAUUUUAAAGGGUCUAUAUCAUGCUUUUCUUUAUCUUCAGUGCAAACUGCAUUCAUAUAU